CUUUUCAAUAUCCACAAAGUUAUGAACCCUGUAUCAACAGUAGUGGCAGCUCCAGCACUUAUUCAAUUAUAACAAUGUCCCGGCAGUAAGAAUUCACCUCGGAGGACCCACUGGGAAAAACCCAGCAAAUAUUGUUCCAAUCCCCUAAACCACACUUCAACAACAACAACGCAAACGCGGUCCUGCUACUCUACUCCGAGUCUUCCAAGGCGAAUAAUCCUCGCGGUCCGAGUUCAAAACAAGUACUAAUCGACGAUUGUAACGAUUUUCUUAGUCGCGGGUACCUCCCAAAGAGAAAAGCGUGGCGUCAUCGUGAACCCCAAAAGGAAACCUCCCCAUGGGGGGAGCACACAUACACACACACACUUACACAGAUGGGCCUUCUUUGGGCGAAGUACAUCGCACAAGGGAAGCGAAGAAGACUGGACCGACCGAGACGUCCACUACCAAGGGUGUGUGUAACACGCGAAUCGGAUUCUUCAAGUCUUGCCCGUCCAAUGCACAAUGGGAAAAAUGGAGUCCAAAACCGGCUAAAUUUAAUUUCUCGGCUGAAUAACAGAUUCAGUACACGGUUUGCGCUAUUCUCGAUUGGAUAAAGCCUGCUAAAUUAACCAGAGACUGUAGCCAGUCAAUUCUGAAUCGUUUCUGAAUUAUCACACAGAGGAAAAUCUUUCGAAUUCUGUUGUGCCAACAAUCUACAAUGUAAAAUCGGGGCAACGAUUUGAGAAAACACAUCCCGCAUAGAAAAAUACAAUUUGCCACACAUUCCGAACAGUUCCGCGAGUUUGUUCGGUUUCCACGUUCCAGAGGACUUGCCAAGCGGUAUCGCUGCCUACUUCCAAUGCCGCGCUGUUUGACGGAUAUACGAAACCUCAAUCAAAUCAAAGGCCGGAAAAGGAUAGUAGCGUCGUCAAAUCAUCGUCCCACUGCUCUCAGUUUCUCGAGAACCGGACCAAUUUCGACUCGGAAGUUGCUAGCAAGCACCACCAGCCUAGGAAGAUGCCAACCCUUCUUAAAUUCGUCCUAUGGAAGCGGAAACUACGAGCAACGUAUUUUGGACAAAAAAGCUGUGAUUCUCGUUAUUAACUUUUAAUUUGAAUAAUUCCUGAUAUUUUAUUGCAGGCAUAGUUCGAUUAUAUUUCAUUUACAAAUUAAAAAAUAAUAAAACAAUUUGUUUCAAAUAUUUACAGUGAGAAAUAAUGUAAUAAAAAAAACAUUUAUCACCAAAUUCGAAUUUUCUUUAUCUUAAUGUAUAAACGUAUCAGUACAGUAUAGAAUAUUGUUAAACUACCGUAACUUACC
rnacentral:lncRNA from 1 species